GAUGAAGAACGCAGCGAAAUGCGAUACUUGGUGUGAAUUGCAGAAUCCCGUGAACCAUCGAGUCUUUGAACGCAAGUUGCGCCCGAAGCCACUAGGCCGAGGGCACGCCUGCCUGGGCGUCACACGCCGUUGCCCCCCCAUCUACUCCUUCGGGAUUGCGGGGGGGCGGAUGAUGGCCUCCCGUGCGCCUAGCCGCGCGGUUGGCAUAAAUACCAAGUCCUCGGCGACGCACGCCACGACAAUCGGUAGUUGCGAAACCUCGGUUGCCCGUCGUGUGCGUUCGUCGCGCAUCGAGGGCUCGAAAAAAUGCUCGGCUCCGGCUGGGCUUUCAACGCGACCCCAGGUCAGGCGGGGUUACCCGCUGAAUUUAAGCAUAUCAAUAAGCGGAGGA
rnacentral:misc_RNA from 1 species